rnacentral:tRNA from 1 species
CCCGUGAUAGCUCAGUUGGUAGAGCGGAGGACUGUAGAAAGGAAGAAUUGUAAUCCUUAGGUCGCUGGUUCGAAUCCGGCUCGCGGGA